GUGCUGGGAUGUGCGAUCUGAUGGUUGAGAUGGAUUGCGGCAUGGAUUAAAUAGCAGCUGAGCUUCUGGAGUUUGAUCAAAAGUGAGAUUCUGAUGUUGCUUAGGAUUUGGGGCCUAUAAGAAGGCCUAACGACCUAAGGAGAAAAGGAGAGAAGUCGAGAGGGAGGCCUUGGCAGCCAUCAAGAGGAGUUUGGCAAGUGCCGAGAGCGAACAGAGCAGAUGUAGGUAGAGCAUCAGGUAGA
rnacentral:lncRNA from 1 species